CAGGCCUAACACAUGCAAGUCGAACGGAUAUAGUAGCAAUACUAUGUUAGUGGCGGACGGGUGAGUAAUGCAUGAGCAACCUGCCUUAUACAGGGGGAUAACACUUAGAAAUGAGUGCUAAUACCGCGUAAUAGCCUUUUAUGGCAUCAUAAGAGGGGGAAAGGAGAGAUCCGGUAUAAGAUGGGCUCAUGUUCGAUUAGCUAGUUGGUGGGGUAAAGGCUCACCAAGGCGACGAUCGAUAGCCGAACUGAGAGGUUGAACGGCCACAUUGGAACUGAGAGACGGUCCAGACUCCUACGGGAGGCAGCAGUGGGGGAUAUUGCGCAAUGGGGGAAACCCUGACGCAGCAACGCCGUGUGAAGGAAGAAGGCUUUAGGGUUGUAAACUUCUUUGAUUAGGGACGAAAGAAAUGACGGUACCUAAGGAACAAGCCACGGCUAACUACGUGCCAGCAGCCGCGGUAAUACGUAGGUGGCGAGCGUUGUCCGGAAUAACUGGGUGUAAAGGGCGAGUAGGUGGGGCGACAAGUCAGAUGUGAAAUUUAGGGGCUCAACUUCUAAGCUGCAUCUGAAACUAGAGUUCUUGAGUGCUGGAGAGGGAAGCGGAAUUCCUAGUGUAGCGGUGAAAUGCGUAGAUAUUAGGAGGAACACCAGUGGCGAAGGCGGCUUUCUGGACAGUAACUGACMACUGAGGCGCGAAAGCGUGGGGGAGCGAACAGGAUUAGAUACCCUGGUAGUCCACGCUGUAAACGAUGGAUACUAGGUGUAGGAGGUAUCGACCCCUUCUGUGCCGGCGCAAACGCAAUAAGUAUCCCACCUGGGGAGUACGACCGCAAGGUUGAAACUCAAAGGAAUUGACGGGGGCCCGCACAAGCAGUGGAGUAUGUGGUUUAAUUCGAAGCAACGCGAAGAACCUUACCAGGGCUUGACAUCCCUUGAAUAUAUAGGAGACUAUAUAGCUUUUCGGAGCAAGGAGACAGGUGGUGCAUGGUUGUCGUCAGCUCGUGUCGUGAGAUGUUGGGUUAAGUCCCGCAACGAGCGCAACCCCUAUUGUUAGUUACCAGCAUUAAGUUGGGGACUCUAGCGAGACUGCCGGUGAUAAAUCGGAGGAAGGUGGGGACGACGUCAAAUCAUCAUGCCCCUUAUGCCCUGGGCUACACACGUACUACAAUGGCUAUAACAGAGGGAAGCGAGAUCGCGAGAUGGAGCGAAACCCAGAAAGAUAGUCCCAGUUCGGAUUGUAGGCUGAAACUCGCCUACAUGAAGAUGGAAUUGCUAGUAAUGGCAGGUCAGCAUACUGCCAUGAAUACGUUCCCGG
rnacentral:rRNA from 1 species